UACAGAGGGUGCAAGCGUUAAUCGGAGUUACUGGGCGUAAAGGGCGCGUAGGCGGUUAUGUAAGUGAGACGUGAAAGCCCCGGGCUUAACCUGGGAAUGUCGUCUUAAACUGCAUGACUGGAGUACUGUAGAGGGUAGUGGAAUUUCCGGUGUAGCGGUGAAAUGCGUAGAGAUCGGAAGGAACACCAGUGGCGAAGGCGGCUACCUGGACAGAUACUGACGCUGAGGCGCGAAAGCGUGGGGAGCAAACAGG
rnacentral:rRNA from 1 species